CAGUGAAGCCUCCUUGGUGACGAGGACGAGGAAAUCGCAGCUUCUCCGUGCAGCGGCCGCAGAAGGUGAGGAGGUCGUGCCUUCUCUAGGCAGCGGACAUAGAGAUCAGGACAUCCCUGUGACCCAAGUUCGUCGUCACAGCAGUUAAGGAAAUCAGAGAUCCAUUCCUCGCAGUGGAGUUUUCAUGGAGGCAACCCAAGGACAGGUAAACUGCUGCUCAAUCCAUAGUAGCGCUUGAUUCUUGUUGCUCGGUUCUUGUCAACAUUAGGGAGCGAUUGGGUAGGAUUUUGGUGAUUAGGACAGGAUGAAUCAUUACGAUUUUUGGUUCUUGUCAACCUUUCUUACAGAAUGAUGAUGAGAUAAAUGUGGAAAAUGAGAAAUGUGGGGGCGAUUGGUUAGGAUUAGGGUGAUUAGGGACAGGUUGUGUGAGUACAUCCUGGAAUUGAGGGAUUUCAAUGUUUCUUGCUACCUUACUGAUUGAUGUUUCGUGCUAUGAAUGUCGCAUAGUGAGCUAUAAUUUAGUGUGUCCGUAUGACACUAUAUCAGAAACUUUGUGGUUGUGAUUCUCCAAACAUUCUGUGAUAGUCAUUAUGAGUGAACAACCAUCAGGUUUCUGAAAUGUACACUCGCUGCAACCACAAGGUAUGGGAUGAACAGCCAGCUAGCUCAGUCAAAGUUGGAUUAGCUCAGUCAGAGUUGGAUUCAGUUGUGCUAGUCAUUGUGAAUUUAGGAAAUUAAUAUUAGUAAAUGGAUAUUUCUUUAUGGUCAGCAAUGGAAAUGCGGCACUAACUGCCUUAGUAGUCAUUGUGUCCUAUUCUCUGAUGAACCCUAAUCAGCCUAGCUGUUGAUUAGAGCCCAUAGUUAUCUGUACUUUGGUACUAUGUCUGUAUGAUAUUUAUCAUUUCAACUUUCUGUAGCUGAAGUAGCAGUACUGUUAUUUUUAAGUUUUAAGUAGCUGCAUCAGUAAUAUCUGAACUAAAACCUUUCUUGCAGAAUGGUGAUGAGGUAAAUGUGCAAAAUGAACUCGAUUCAACUGCAUCAACGCCACCAUCUCCAGUGGUUGCAAGGUCAAGGACUGAAUAUCAAGGCAGAAAAACAAGCUUGGAGGGAUAAACAGAGGAGUGAACCUUCA
rnacentral:lncRNA from 1 species